GACGAACGCUGGCGGCGUGCUUAACACAUGCAAGUCGAACGGGCCCGCCCCUGUUUUUGGGGGUGGGUUGAGUGGCGAACGGGUGAGUAUCACGUGAGUAACCUGCCCCCUGCUCCUGGAUAACUGCUUGAAAGGGCGGCUAAUACGGGGUGUGCCGGCUGGUCCGCAUGGGCCUGGUCGGGAUAGUUUCAUCUUCGGGUGUUUCGGUGGGGGAUGGGCUCGCGGCCUAUCAGCUUGUUGGUGGGGUGAUGGCCCACCAAGGCGGUGACGGGUAGCCGGCCUGAGAGGGUGGGCGGCCACACUGGGACUGAGACACGGCCCAGACUCGUGCGGGAGGCAGCAGUGGGGGGGAUUGCAAAAUGGGCGGAAGCCUGAUGCAGCGACGUCGCGUGAGGGAGGGAGGCCUUCGGGUUGUGAACCUCUUUCUCCGGUGGUGAAGGCCCUGUCCGGUGCGGCGGGGUUGACGGUAGCCGGGGAUGAAGCGCCGGCUAACUACGUG
rnacentral:rRNA from 1 species